GAUGAACGCUGGCGGCGUGCUUAACACAUGCAAGUCGAACGAUGAAGCCCAGCUUGCUGGGUGGAUUAGUGGCGAACGGGUGAGUAACACGUGAGUAACCUGCCCUUAACUCUGGGAUAAGCCUGGGAAACUGGGUCUAAUACCGGAUAGGAGCGUCCACCGCAUGGUGGGUGUUGGAAAGAUUUAUCGGUUUUGGAUGGACUCGCGGCCUAUCAGCUUGUUGGUGAGGUGAUGGCUCACCAAGGCGACGACGGGUAGCCGGCCUGAGAGGGUGACCGGCCACACGGGGACUGAGACACGGCCCAGACUCCUACGGGAGGCAGCAGUGGGGAAUAUUGCACAAUGGGCGCAAGCCUGAUGCAGCGACGCCGCGUGAGGGAUGACGGCCUUCGGGUUGUAAACCUCUUUCAGUAGGGAAGAAGCGAAAGUGACGGUACCUGCAGAAGAAGCACCGGCUAACUACGUG
rnacentral:rRNA from 1 species